rnacentral:lncRNA from 1 species
CCUGCUGCGAUGGCUUUAGAUACUGGCCCACGACAAACAAGAACAGGGACAAAGACCAGGUGCUCCUGAAGAGCAGUGUCCAGUGGAGAGCAAGUGCCCAACUCUCUUCCUGACCACCUCUCUGACCAUGCCUCCGUUUGAUGGAUAUGGCCCUGGCAGUGCCAUCUGGCUCCGGGUGACAGCCACUUGUGUGUGGAGAUUGUUCUUUUGGAAAGAACAGGAUGAAGCUCAGCCUGACUCCCUUGCUGGCCAUUGCUCUGACCCUCUUCCUGGCCAUCGCUCUCACCAUGUCUCCACUUGCUGGAUAUGGCCCUAGCUGCGCCAGCUGUCUCAGCAUGGUCAGGAAGAGGGACAAAAAGCUGGUCCUUCCCGAUGAACAGCGUCCAGAUGAGACCAAGAGCCAGAGCUCAACAUGGCCAUGCUGGUUUGGCCUAAGAGACUGCCCUGUCCAGAAAGAGGACGGGAACAGAAAUCAGGUGCACCCCGAAGACCAGCGUCCCCAUGAGACUGUGAGCCAGACAUCCACCUGGCCCUGCUGCUUUGGCCUUAGAUACUGGCCCACGACAAACAAGAACAGGGACAAAAACCAGGUCCUUCCUGAGGAGCAGUGUCCAGA